rnacentral:rRNA from 1 species
UUGAACGCUGGCGGUAUGCCUAACACAUGCAAGUCGAACGAGGGUAGCAAUACUCUAGUGGCGGACGGGUGAGGAAUACGUAGGAAUUUGCCCUUAAGUGGGGGAUAACCCGGGGAAACCCGGAUUAAUACCGCAUGAUCUUUUCGAAGCAAAGCCGGGGACCUUCGGGCCUGGCGCUUUUGGAGAAGCCUACGUCGGAUUAGCUAGUUGGUGAGGUAAUGGCUCACCAAGGCUGCGAUCCGUAACUGGUCUGAGAGGAUGAUCAGUCACAUCGGAACUGAGACACGGUCCGAACUCCUACGGGAGGCAGCAGUGGGGAAUAUUGGACAAUGGGCGAAAGCCUGAUCCAGCAAUACCGCGUGUGUGAAGAAGGCCUUCGGGUUGUAAAGCACUUUAGGUCGGAAAGAAAAAACUUUAGCUAAUAUCUGAAGUCUUGACGGUACCGACAGAAUAAGCACCGGCUAACUCUGU